CAAUAGCGUAUAUUAAAGUUGUUGCAGUUAAAAAGCUCGUAGUUGGAUUUCGGGGCAGCCUGGCUGGUCCGCCGCAAGGCGAGUACUGGUCAGCCGCACUUCCUCUCGAAAGCCCCGACUGCUCUUCGUUGCAGUGGUCGGGUAGUUCGGGACGUUUACUUUGAAAAAAUUAGAGUGUUCAAGGCAGGCCUACGCCUGAAUACAUUAGCAUGGAAUAAUGGAAGAGGACCUCGGUCCUAUUUUGUUGGUUUCCAGGGCCGAAGUAAUGAUUAAGAGGGACAGUUGGGGGCAUUCGUAUUUAAUUGUCAGAGGUGAAAUUCUCGGAUUUAUGAAAGACGAACAACUGCGAAAGCAUUUGCCAAGGAUGUUUUCAUUAA
rnacentral:rRNA from 1 species